ACUAGCCACAUGGAAACAGACACAGACACUUCUGCCUCUUCCUCCAUUUUUGUCUUCAGUUUCUCUUCUUCCUGAGUACCAGGGGAGGGCUUGGAUGGGGUCCAACCAAACUGCGUGUUGGUCACACAGCCCGAGGAGCAGAAAACAUGUGUGUCCCAGCCCAGAUGGUUUGCUUCUUCAGUCCAGCAUCUGUCUUUCAAGGAGCCAGCCCAGGGAGGAGAACUGAGGGUGAGGGAAUGGUCCAGAUAUCAAAUUAUACAGACAAACGGAUGGCUUCACCUAGAUCAGCAGUCAUCUGAGGAUCCUUCCCGCAGCUUCUGGUGGCCUUUGGACCAGAACAGAAGGUGUCCAGACUCACCAGGACCUGCCCAUGGGCAUGGAGGAGAGCACUGGUAUCAAUUUCCUCAGCUGGACACAGGAUCCAGUCACUGCUAUAUCGUGGCCAAACUUCGUAUCUGCUUCUAUUCCCAGCACUGGGUAAUGCUGUUGCACCCUAAGCUCAACUGGACACCUCUUAUUUGAGACAGAUACUUUACUUCUGAAAAACUGAUUCCUGUAGAUGAUAAGCUCUCUUAUAGGCCAAAAUGGAGUCAGAUCAAUUUUAAUCAUGCUUACAUUGCAGGUCCCGUAAGCCAACUAUUUUAAUAGUUUUUCUGAGUCCUUUUCUUAGGGCUUGGAACAUGCUCAACACCAAUAAACCGAAAGACUUAGCAGGAUGUUUCGCCUCAUUAAAAUGCUUUGUGCUUUUGA